GCAACAACAUAAUAAACGAAGAAGAAGAGAGAAAUGCGUUGGCAUCUUUUAUCUCAGUAACUUCCAUCCAAAAUAUGCGAAUAACAAAUAUUUUACUCCUGGAUAUGCUAUCUAGUUGCCAAAUUCCCUUUCCUGGACAACCAAAAAUGAGUAGUGAGUGAACCCACCUCAUUAAAAGCAACCUAUCUGCCUUAGUCCACACAAUGGACCCCGGCCCGCCCCUCCCUUUGGAUGAUCACUAUUAAAGCCAUAAUAAAUUCCAGGUAACUUACAUAUUUGAUCGUUCGGUUAAAAAUUUGCAAGUCAAAUAUAUAUAGAGAGUUUACUUUGUACCAAAGAUGUAUAUUAUACAUUAAUAUACAACAAAUAUAUAUAUAUAUAAAAAAUAUAUAUAUUUACUGACUAGUACUAUUUUAGUAGACAGUUAUUUAUGUCAAUUUUUCAUAAAUAAAAAGGUGGCCAAAACUGAUGAUUAAAACAUCACAAAUUAAUAUCAGCUUCUAGUUUACUUUGGUACCACAUAAUAUCAGUGACGACAUUAAUUAAAUUUGGCCGUGUGAGUUUACUCAUAUAUUGACUGUCGGUUAGAAAAUCAAAAGAUUUUGUUGGUGGUGCUCAUUACAUGGAAUCAUUUAAGAGUUUAAAUUUGGUGAGCCGUUGGUGUAAUUGUUUUUUACACCAUCACGUGAUUUAUAUCUGUUGUAGCAGGUCAUUUAUUUCUCAAAUAAAAAUAUAAAAAAUGAAUGACUUUUACAAAUUAUAUAGUAGUACUUAUCUUUGACUACAUUGGUUCACUUACAAAGAAAUAGCUGUUAGAUAAAAGGAAGUUCGUAGCUGGGUGUCCAUAUUUUUGUGGACUCAGAAUGUUCACUGCUAAUAACUUCCUCCGUUUUAUUUUACUUGACCCUCUUUUUAAAAAUAUUUAUUUUAAUUUAGUUGUUCCUUUGAUGAAAUCAAGAGGAUUUUAAUAUGUUCUUCCAAUAAUACUCUUAUCAUUAAAUGACUAAACAAGUUGUAUACAUAUUCAAAUUUAUAUUUUUAAAGCAUAAUUAAUAAUGUUAAUUUGGUAAAAUAAACCCUUAGUAAAUACUUUUCUUAAUUGGUACGUCAAGUUUAGAGGGGCCAACUAAAAUGAAACGAAGGGAAUACUGUACAGUGUAGUACUACUCCGACCCAUUAUUUGGCUCUUAUAGAAGACUUACUUUGAGUCUUGUAGACUUGUACUAUGUGCAAAGAUAUUAUCCUCUCCUCUUGCUGUUUAAUUUAGAUCAGAAUUUAGUCCCUCAAAAUAAAUACUAAUAAGCCAAUCACUUCAAUUUGUGGUUUCUCUUUCUUCCCAUUAGUCCUUAAUUCUGCUCUUCUUUUGGAAUACAUAUUGAUCCCAAAGGCAUAUAUUUGGUGGUGGUUCCACCUUAAAUAUUUGAACAAUGAUCCAAACAAGAAGAAUUCAAUUCAUCAUCUUUUGCUUGCUUAUAAUUUCUAUGCAAGUUUUGGUGAAUCUCGAAGCUUUGACAACCAAUUCUGGUGACUGUAUGUCUUCUUACUUACAACGUCUCUUUAUUUUUGUUUUUUCUUGUACUCUUCAAUGAUGAAUUUAACUCGUAUAAAUCGGUUAAUAUAAAAAUAAAAAUAAAAAUUAUACUAAUAACUAACAUAAUUUGACAUGUUAUUUAUUUAUUAUCUUUUGACUCACUUAUCCCGAUCAGUUAGUUAUAGUUGUUUUUUUUAGGUAAUUUGAUCGUCUAAUAUUAUAGUGAAAGCAAAAGGCUUUGCAGCUAGCUUCCAUGCUCAAUCGAGUAUGCAUGUCUAAUAUGAUCAUGUAUAGAUUUACAUGCUCCAAGUCACAUUUAAAUUUGUAUAUAAGAAGAGGGUCACUUGGAGUUGACACUCACCAAAAUUAACGGACCAUUAUUUUUCGAGUUCAUUUCGAUUAAUUAUUGGAUACAUAUGAACAAAGUCACAUAUCUUUUUUCUAUUUUAACUGGAAAAAAUGAUUGGUGCAGAUGGAGUUUUAGUCUCACUGAAGGAAGAGUGGGAGAACGUACCACCAAGUUGGGAUGGCUCUGAUCCUUGUGGUGAUCCAUGGGAAGGCAUUGACUGCAACGACAAUUCACGUGUUAUUUCUAUGUAACUU
rnacentral:lncRNA from 1 species